GCAGUGAUGACUUCCUGGUUUUGAUCUUCCGUGAAAUUAAACCACCAACUCCUCUAAGAAGUGCUGAGCUC
ensembl:snoRNA small nucleolar RNA SNORD61